UACGUAGGGUGCAAGCGUUGUCCGGAAUUAUUGGGCGUAAAGAGCUCGUAGGCGGUCUGUCGCGUCGGCUGUGAAAACUCGGGGCUCAACUCCGAGCCUGCAGUCGAUACGGGCAGACUAGAGUGCUGUAGGGGAGACUGGAAUUCUUGGUGUAGCGGUGAAAUGCGUAGAUAUCAAGGGAACACCUGCGGCGAAGGCGGGUUGCUGGGCCGACACUGACGCUGAGGCGCGAAAGCCAGGGGAGCGAACGGG
rnacentral:rRNA from 1 species